rnacentral:misc_RNA from 1 species
UCUCAUGGCACGGCUCAGUUGUCAUUACUGACAGGUUUUUAUGUAUAUAAGUGCUCUAAACGUGAAAACGUACUUUUUUGUAUCAUGAUGAUGCGAAAUGGGAGAAUUGAUAAAUGAUUAAAGUAAAAAAUUCGUGCGAAACAACGGACAAUUUAUUAAAAGCAGGUUUCAAAGUUUUCUGACUGCUUAUCAUCAAUUUAUAAUUGGAUCGGAAAUUUCACGAGGAGGUUAAACGAUUUAUUUUUCAUGCACUGAAAUAUCAAAUAACUUGGCAAGUCUAAGUAUGUUUUACAAACAGACCCUUGUGGUGUUCUUGAAUACAUUAUUUUCUGCUUUUAUUCUUACAAAUGUAAAUUUUUCAACAGCAGAAACGAUUUCUGACGUGGAUAAAUUGUUAAGUAAUUUAUUUUCACCAACCGUUUAUAAUAAACAAAUUCGUGGUCAGAAUGACAUUUCUAAAACGAUGAAUGUUACGCUCAGUUUUGCGCUCCAGUAUAUUCAAAAGCUAGAUGAUCUUCACUGAAACGCUGCAAUUGCAAGGAAUCCUCUUUACAGAAUGGACUGAUGAAAGACUAGUUUGGAUCCCGGAAGCUUAUAAUAAUACAAAAGUGCACGAGAGUUAUCUUACACCCCUGGGUGUAAGACGAGAUUUUCCAGCAUCGGCAACAACAAAAAAGAAACAACAAACAUACGGUGUAUGCUGCCGCUGACACUGUAUGGAGACCUGAACUCGUGGUUGCUAAUCCAUCAAAGACACUACAAUUCCUUGGCGACGAAAUUUCAAGGCUUUUAACCAAGCACUCUUAUAACGGUGUAGCUCAGUGGUCUGUUGCUGAUGUUUUCCACUGCACAUGUUCAGUUGAUCUAACAUCUUUUCCUUGGGAUAUACAGACAUGUACUCUCGAGUUUACUGUUUGGGCUUAUAAGGUCCAUGAGAUCCAGCUGAUAGCAUGGCCAGCUAUUAUAGAUUUGAAUCAGUUUGAAACUAACGGCCAGUGGAUAUUGUUAAGUAAGCGGGUUUACACAAAGUAUCAUCCAGUCAAAUCCGUUCUGGCAUUUGAAUUCGUACUGAAACGCCGGCCUUUGUUUUUUGUUGUCAAUAUUCUAUUGCCAAUUGUUUCAUUCAGUGUGCUAAAUUUAGCAGUUUUUAUAAUACCAAUUGACUCAGGGGAGAGAAUCUCCUUUUCUCUGACUUUGCUUCUUUCCAUUGGAGUUUUCCUAACACUGAUUAGUGCAAACUUACCUCCCAAUGCCGAAACAAUGGCAUCCAUUUGUUACUUUUUGUUCUUUGUGAUGGUGCAAAGUACCGUGAUAUGUUUAUUAAAUAUCAUAAGCAUAAAGCUUUAUUUCAAAGCCAAUGACGAGUCGGCGCCGAACAAAAGCCUGGAAUAGGUGUUUUAUGCUUUGCAACACAAUAAAAUGUUGUUUUCAGAAAAAAAUAACAACCGGAAAAGAAGAGACGCCGGAAGACGCAUCGGACCAGACAGACGAUGCUUGUAUGAAUCAUUCUGAAUUCAAUGACAAGACGCAGCGAUCUUGUUCUUGGAAAGAUAUUAGCAAAAUGGCUGAUCAAACUUUCUUAGUAGUUAUGAUAAUAUUUUUAGUUUUUGCAUUUUCAAUGUUUACAUUUCAUGCAUAUAACGGCAUAUAAAUAUACCAUUAUGGGCUGUCUUGCUGAAUAUGCCGUAAUGAAAUAUGCUAAACAAACACAAUUUAACCUUUCUAUAAAAAAAAAGAAACGUUUGUUAUAUAUCAAUUUAUAUUUAAAACACGUAUCUUUGAUAUUAGCAUGAACAAAAUAUAUAUCUUAAGUGUCGAGGUAUUAUUUGUGUUUAGAUAUGUUGCUAAUUGGUUUGAAUUAAAACAGAACAAAAAAAAACCGGGUCCGUUUUGUUUAAAUUUUAUGGUAAAUUCCUUUUCACAUUAAUUUUAGGAACGGCAAAAUACAGUAAUGGGUAAGAAAUAAAAUAUUUCGAAAAUCGAUAUAAAUGAUAAUAAAGUUUAAUUAAGUUGGAACAUGUUUGCUAAAGUUUUGUGCUCAUUUUGUAAUUAACAAACAAUUAAGGGCUUCGAGUGGUUUAUUGUCUAAUUUAUCACGGUUUAGAUUUCAGAUGCGCAGGAAUUGAUCCACGAGGGCGUUUAGGCCCUAUUUAAAUAUUUUGAUAAAAAUUAUGCCGGGCUUCAUUUAUUUGAGUUGUAUUGAGCCGGGCGUCAUGUGGCAAUACGACGUCAUAAUGCUCUCUUACCGGUCCGAGCGUCAACCGUUGUUUAUCGCAGAAUAUACAGAGCUUGAACUUCUUCUUUGUUUAGCUGCCAAACAAAUCGAGCCAUCUCUGUGCAGAUAAUUAUACAUAUAAUGUCUGUACAGCUAAUGAUACAUACGAGGGCUGUUAAAAAAAUAACGUAGACUUUUCCUGUCAAAAGCAGUCUAUUGUGUAGAGUGCAAUGUAAAAUAUAUGACUUUUUAUCCUACCACUAUGCAUUUAUCAGGCCAUAUCUGCCUGCCGUGUAAACUUGAGGUUUAUUCGGUCAAUACAGGUUUAUACCGUCAAUGCAACUGACGGACUACUUUUUCAAGUAUAUGUGCUAUAGGCAGUGUAAACUGGGCCGACUAUUCGAAGCUCAGAACAUUUUAUCAUUUUACGAGGACAGCCACGGUAAAAAAAUAAAAACAAUGGUUGUCUCUAUCCAAGUAAACCUCAAUACAGAAUGGCACGGUGACGGUUUUUAAAGUCUGGGUGAAUCGCCCUUACUUUGUGUUUUUUGGCGUUCACUCAUUUUAGUUAAAAAUUUACACAAAUAACCAGAUUUAAGCAGUCGUUUAUUGUAAUUGUUGGAUCUAAACCAUUCAUGGUGGAAGGAAUUUCAUUUAUCUCACAUUGUCUUGUACGGAAACGGAGUAAAUUUAAGAUAUAGAGUCAAAACCAUUCUGCUUGUUUUGUACACGAAUGCCCUGUUAGCACGAUGAUCUAUAAUGCACAGAACCUCAGAAGGCAAAGUAUGAGGUACGAAAUAAUGUUUUAUUGUAAGGAAUUAUGAGUAACUGGAUCAAGCAGUCAAGGGCGUAGGAAUUUACAAGUGAGUGAAAAUCUGGAUUAUUUUUGUAUAGAAAACAUUUUAUAAGAAAAUAUAUAUUAUACACAUAUUUUAUUGACUGCAGGAUAAAUAGCGAUUUGGAGAAAGGUUUAUCCACCCGAGGCUUGCCGAGGGGCAUAAACCUUUCGGAGGCGAGGUGGAUAAAUUAAGUAAAGAAAGACAGUAACCUAAUAUUCUCUAUAUCUCGCCUUCUACAAAUUUCUUGCAUAUCUAUUGGUCAAAAGACGUCACGUGCAGACAGGAUAUACUCCAUAUCCUGCUAGAUCUAGUAAUUUUCCGACAUGAAUUUUGAUUAAGACAAAAUGGCUGCCGCAUCGCUGGCGUAAUUGAAUCAAGUCAGAUUAUUAGCUCCAGCUAUAGACAUAGGGCCCGUCUUAUCAAGAUACUUACGAGAAUAUUUCUCGUAUCUUUCUCGUAAGUCUCUCGCAAGGUUUUCGUAAGUCUGACAGGUGUCUUAUGAAAAUUAUCGUAGCUACGAUAUCGUAAGUUUCUACAUAAAAUCCUCGUAAAGUUACGAGAUUGUCAGGGGUCUCGUAAAUAUUUACGAUAUCGUAAAUAAAAUGGCGGCAUCCGUGUGAGCAACCACGACGAAACUUUCUGUCGAAAAUACUGCAGAUUGUUCAGCAGUAAAACUUGAUUUUCCGUGUACAUGUUGCACAACAGUGGAUGAACUACGUCAUCGAUCAUACAAAAGCACGCGCUUUGGGUCAGUGCGACACGAAGCGGAAGCGAGUGUAAAGGAAAUAUUGAGCACAUAAAUUCUGUUUAUCUUCGCUGUUUCCUGUGUUGACAGAUCAGUUGGAGGGACAUGCUGAAUGCCAGAAGAAAUUACAGACAACAAUACUGCUCAGUGCAGUAACCAGACCUGAAAAAAAAACACUGCUCAAGGCAAACUUUUGGGACAGAGUGCUGCAUACAUGGGCUUAUGCACAAACUGAGAUUUUGCAAGUCAACUGUCAAAGUCAUAAAGAGAGAUAGUGGACAAUGUUGAACAGAGUUGAAGGUCCUGGAAUCUCGGUCAACUGCAGAUAGCAGCAUGGCGUAAAGCAGACGUCUUGUUUCCCAGUCCAAUUUUAGUCAGGGUAUUCUUGGUGGUAUUAUAUGAGUUGACAACUGUACAAGACAUCCUAUUGAAGACAGUUCUGAGUGAACAACGGCCCAAGACACCUCCUUGUUAAUGCUGCCCUGUUAUCUACUGAGUUUCUACAUGCAAGUCAAGUAUCCAUCAAAGAUUGGCCAUGGUGUUUACAGAACUGAAUGCCAAGCUGUGAUUUUUGAAAAUUUAUUAUAAAGUUCUAAAUGGAAAUACAAUUUGAAAAACACAGACAACUUCUUGUGUUUUUAAGCUACCACUUAACUGAAUGAUUACAGACAUAAAUGUAUGCCGUGAAGUUCAGUUUAAAAUGACUAAACAUAAACGCUGUAACAGGAGGAUUGGUCAAUAGCUGAAAGGUCAAGCUCUAAGGCCAUUAUUCACAAGCCAAAUGCUUUUGUCUCUGAAUCUCGUAUAGGGAGAAGAUGUCAAAAGGUCAUAUUUAUGCCCAACUUUGAAGAAUAUGUGGUGAAUUGUUUUGCUCAUUGUUGGUCUGUCGGCAUCGUUUUAAUAGGAAUGGUCUCUGUCCUGACGUUCGUCCGUUACAUUUCUAUCGCUAAGUAUAUAUCCUAAACCCCUCCAAGGAUUUUCAUGAAACUUGGGUCAAAUGAUCACCUCAUUAAAACAAUGUGCAGAACGUAUGAGUCAACCGUGUCUGCUCUGUUUCUCCUUAACCCCUUGAAGGACUUUCAUGAAACUUAGGUCAAAUGAUCAUCUCAUCAAGACAAUAUGCAGACCUUGCGAGUCAGCCGUUUUGGCUCAAUGUCAAAG